GGGCUUUAAAGCCAGAUACAUGAAAGAGUCAUAGUCACAGGGGAGGAGGCUGGCAAGUAGGCCUCUCCAGGACCAAGUGGCGAAGGGCACUUCGUCACACACUCCAAACUAUCAGGCACCGAGAGGAUCAGCCCCUUGAGGACAUGGGAUCCAAAUUGUAGUGUGAUGCACAAACUCCCUCUCAGCCGAAAUUGUGAAGCAGAAAACAAUGUUGCUUUAUUCCAAAUAGACAAAUAUAAAAUAAAUAACUGGUACUGUAUUGAAGUAGAUCAGAUAGUCCUGGUAGUUCGUGGAUAAACCGUCUUAGUUCUAUCUUACUAUAUGUCCAGCUGAUCGCAGACUCUCUGUACAAGUGCAGCUACUUCCGGGUUCGGUGUGGCACCUUUGGUUUUAUAGAUGGCGUAAAUCGACGGCUCUGUUUAUAGUUGGCUUAAAUCACUGACUCUGUUUAUAGGUGGCGUAAACUGUUUAUAAAUAUAAACACACUAGGAGAGCGCAAUUCUUAUAAAAGUAUACAAUAUUUAAAAAUGACAAAUGAAAAUAAAACAGCUGCUAUCCACAAAAAUGUUUUUCCUUAAAAUCUCUUUUAGUUCAAAUGUAAAGAUAAGUGGAAUCGUAAAUCUAUAUACCUCUCCAAGGUAUAUUAACUUUUUCAAUUCCACAAAAGUUUAUUCCUCCUGGAUUACUAGCAUGAUGCUCCAAAAAAAAAGUUUGGAUGAGUGUUUUCAAACCUUCUUUUAAUAUUGUAUAUAUGUUCGUUAAGUCUGAUUUUUAAGUUCCUUUUCGUUUGUCCCACAUAUUGUAGUCCACAAGGACAACUGAAUAAAUAUCUAACCUGCUUUGAAUGGCAGGUCAUACAUUCUUUAAUAUCAUGAUUUUUGCAUGUAAGGGUUCCCUUUGGGGGGGGGAAAGGGAUGGAUGUUUAUAGUUAUUUUUGGAUGGGUUUAUAGAUGGCGUAAAUCGAUGGCUCUGUUUAUUAUAUAUUAAAUCGAUGGCUCUGUUUAUAGAUGGCGUAAAUCGAUGGCUCGCAUAAAUCGAUGGCUCUGUUUAUAGAUGGCGUAAAGAUGGCUCGUAAAUCGAUGGCUCUGUUUAUAGAUGGCGUAAAUCGAUGGCUCUGUUUAUAGAAGGCAUAAAUCGAUGGCUCUGUUUAUAGAUGGCGUAAAUCGAUGGCUCUGUUUAUAGAAGGCAUAAAUCGAUGGCUCUGUUUAUAGAUGGCGUAAAUCGAUGGCUCUGUUUAUAGAAGGCAUAAAUCGAUGGCUCUGUUUAUAGAUGGCGUAAAUCGAUGGCUCUGUUUAUAGAUGGCGUAAAUUGCUCUAUUUAUAGAUGGCGUGAAUCGACAGCUCUGUUUAUAGAUGUCGUAAAUUGCUCUGUUUAUAGAUGGCGUAAAUCAUCGCCUCUGUUUAUAGGUGGCGGAAAUCGAUGGCUCUGUUUAUAGAAGGCAUAAAUCGAUGGCUCUGUUUAUAGAUGGCGUAAAUUGCUCUAUUUAUAGAUGGUGUAAAUCGACGGCUCUGUUUAAAGAUGGCGUGAAUCGACAGCUCUGUUUAUAGAUGUGGUAAAUUGCUCUGUUUAUAGAUGGCAUAAAUCAUCGCCUCUGUUUAUAGGUGGCGUAAAUCGAUGGCUCUGUUUAUAGAAGGCGUAAAUCGAUGACUCUGUUUAUAGAUGGCGUAAAUUGCUCUAUUUAUAGACGGCGUAAAUCGACUGCUCUGUUUAUAGAUGGCGUAAAUUGCUCGGUUUAUAGAUGGCGUAAAUCGACGGCUCUGUUUAUAGAUGGCGUAAAUUGCUCGGUUUAUAGAUGGCGUAAAUUGCUCGGUUUAUAGAUGGCGUAAAUCGACGGCUCUGUUUAUAGAUGGCGUAAAUUGCUCUGUUUAUAGAUGGCGUAAAUCGAUGGCUCUGUUUAUAGAUGGCGUAAAUUGCUCUAUUUAUAGACGGUGUAAAUCGACUGCUCUGUUUAUAGAUGGCGUAAAUUGCUCUGUUUAUAGAUGGCGUAAAUUGCUCUAUUUAUAGACGGUGUAAAUCGACUGCUCUGUUUAUAGAUGGCGUAAAUUGCUCUAUUUAUAGACGGUGUAAAUCGACUGCUCUGUUUAUAGAUGGCGUAAAUUGCUCGGUUUAUAGAUGGCGUAAAUCGACGGCUCUGUUUAUAGAUGGCGUAAAUUGCUCUGUUUAUAGAUGGCGUAAAUCGAUGGCUCUGUUUAUAGAUGGCGUAAAUCGAUGGCUCUGUUUAUAGAUGACGUAAAUCAUCGCCUCUGUUUAUAGAUGGCGUAAAUCACCGCCUCUGUUUAUAGAUGGCGUAAAUCGACGGCUCUGUUUAUAGAUGCGUAAAUCGAUGGCUCUGUUUAUAGAAGGCAUAAGUCAAUGGCUCUGUUUACAGAUGGCGUAAAUUGAUAGCUCUGUUUAUGGAUGGCGUAAAUCGAUGGCUCUGUUUAUAGAAGGCGUAAAUCCGGUGGCUCUCUUUAUAGAUGGCGUAAAUUGCUCUGUUUACAGAUGGCGUAAAUCGACGGCACUGUUUAUAGAUGACGCAGGGAUGUUUUCUGUAAUGUCUCUGAUAAAACCAGCUGAGAUACAAUACGCAAAACCUUCGCUCUGAGCAAAUUAUAUUUUAAGCCUUUCAAUCAUUUUGCCUGUAAUAUGAAAUGGACAGAUUGUUUGGGUUUUCUAGUUAUUCAGAGAUAACGUCUACAAAGUGGGGAAGUGCAGCUUUCUGUUGGACUGGCAUCGCCAUAGCUGGGGCGAGUUCUGCACCGGACUGAGCAUGUAACCAUCUUCAACUUAUAUGUGCAAGGAUGGUAUGUAUGAUACCGUAUGUGCAAGAAUGAUAUGUAUGAUAGCAUAUUUAAAAAGAGUGUAUGUAUGAUAAUGUAUCUGCAAGGAAGGUAUGUAUGUAUGAUAGCAUAUGUGCAAGGAAGGCAUGAAUGAUAAUGUAUGAUCGGCAUUCCCGAACCACCGAAGGGAUCUGAGUGAUUUUUCGUCAAAGUGUGCACUCAGAUCCCAGCUAUUCUGUGACUUUCGUGCGGUUCUGAAAUAUUAAAAUGUGUUUUUUUUUAUGUUUGAAAUUAUUGUAGAUUUUUCUGUACCUGAGAGAUAAUUAAGUUAUAUAGUUUUCUAACGCAACUAUCAUUCAGGCACAGAGGAUCUUAGGAGGAAAAACUUUGUAAUGUCAUGUGAGAGACCCCUUGUAGAUGACAGUGCAUAAAAGCCAUGUGUGACCAAAUAAACUCAGUUG